rnacentral:rRNA from 1 species
UACAGAGGUCCCAAGCGUUGUUCGGAUUCAUUGGGCGUAAAGGGUGCGUAGGCGGCGCGGUAAGUCGGGUGUGAAAUCUCGGAGCUUAACUCCGAAACUGCAUUCGAUACUGCCGUGCUUGAGGACUGGAGAGGAGACUGGAAUUUACGGUGUAGCGGUGAAAUGCGUAGAUAUCGUAAGGAAGACCAGUGGCGAAGGCAGCUCUCUGGGACGGUACUGACGCUGAGACGCGAAAGCGUGGGGAGCGAACAGG